rnacentral:misc_RNA from 1 species
GCUGGUGAUCCAAAUUGGGUUGAUUACCACUGCACCUCAAUAAUGAUUGCUCGGAGAAUUUGGCUCAAACGGCCUUCCGCCUCCGCCCCACGCUUUUUAUUUCCCUACACUCCCCAAGCUUUGUCUCCGCCGUCGCCUUCGCUGCUCCCGGAGCUCAAACCUCCAUCUCUAGGUGUUUCUUCGCUGCUGCCCUUCUGCAGCCACGCUUCGGCGCCGUUUCGAUUGGUUAAUAACUCUAUCGACAGUGGCAUUCAAUAUAGGGUGAAUAGAUGUUGCUUUUCGAGUCAUGCUUUGGCGGAUCUUCCAGUGGGUGGGAUAGUUGAUGUGCCUUUAGCGCAAACUGGUGAAGGUAUCGCUGAAUGUGAACUUCUCAAAUGGUUCGUGCAUCAGGGCGAUGAGGUUGAGGAAUUUCAACCACUAUGUGAAGUUCAGAGUGACAAAGCAACUAUUGAAAUAACAAGUCGUUACAAGGGGAAAGUAGCUCAAAUUCUCUAUGUUCCUGGAGACAUUGUAAAGGUUGGAGAAACUCUUCUAAAAAUGAUUGUCGAGGAAUGUCAAGCUCCUGCACAUGUGCAUGAUGAUUUGGAAGAUACAAAGCCACUUGGUUCCAAGCUGGAAAAAAGUCAAAUUGAUGGAGUCCUGUCGACACCAGCUGUUCGGCUCCUUGCAAAGCAAUAUAAUAUAAAUUUAAAUGAUGUCCAUGGAACUGGGAAAGAUGGAAGGAUACUAAAAGAAGACUUGCUUAAAUAUGGCAUUCAGAAAGGAAUAAUUGAAGAUUCAUCUGGAACUGUGAAAGCUGAUUCUGGGAACCAGUUUCUGGGGGAAAAAGAGAAAUACUCGUAUGCUUCAGCAGAAGUAGGACAACCUCAUGAGGAUAAGAUAGUUCCCCUAAGGGGUUUCCAACGGACUAUGGUGAAGACAAUGUCCAUGGCUGCAAAAGUUCCACAUUUUCAUUAUGUAGAAGAGAUUAAUUGCAACGCAUUAGUGGAGCUUAAAGCAUCUUUCCAGAAUAAUAGUACUGAUCCAGGCAUCAAGCAUACUUUCCUUCCAUUAUUGAUAAAGUCACUUUCAAUGGCCCUCAACAGGUAUCCAUGGAUGAAUAGUUCCUUCAAUGAUGAAGCAGUAGAGAUGAUUCUAAAAGGUUCCCACAAUAUAGGAAUUGCCAUGGCUACUCCACAUGGUCUGGUUGUGCCCAACAUAAAGAAUGUUCAGUCUCUUUCCAUCUUGGAGAUAACAAAGGAAUUGGCACGGUUACAACAAUUGGCAACGGAGAACAAGCUUAACCCUGAGGAUAUAACUGGUGGAACAAUAACUCUAAGCAAUAUUGGUGCAAUUGGUGGGAAGUUUGGUGCCCCUAUCAUCAACUUGCCUGAAGUUGCCAUUAUUGCUAUUGGUAGAAUUCAGAAGGUUCCACAGUUUGCAGAUGAUGGAAAUGUGUAUCCCGCAUCAAUCAUGACUGUAAAUAUUGGUGCAGACCAUAGAGUUCUGGAUGGGGCAACAGUUGCAAAAUUUUGCAAUGAGUGGAAACAAUUGAUUGAAAAACCAGAAUUACUCAUGUUGUUUUUGAGAUGAUAUGUUUUCAUCUCAUAGCCUCCUCUUUACUGUACAUUUAUUAAAAGGGAAACAAAUAAAAGAAACGUUUUGUUCUGGAACUUGUAUUAAGUGCCAAACUGCCAAUAAGAUUUAGAAUAAUGAACAGCAACUUUUAUAUUUGGACUGCUUAAAGUGCAAAGCUGUGCAAUACCCCCCAAUUUUUUGAAGAAAUAUCAAUGUGGCUGUUAUUAGAAAUAAAAAUAAAAUUUAUAAUGUUUUGAGGAGAAAGUUUAAUUUGGAAUGGAUUUAUAAGUGAAGAUUUGAAGUUUUUGGUGUAAAAUGAAUUUUUGAAAAUAUCAAAAACCAAAUUGAAAAUUUUCUUAAAAAAGGUGGACAGCUGGUCGACUAUUCAACAUGAUGAGACUUUUUCUAGCAACUUAAAAAAAAAAAAA